rnacentral:rRNA from 1 species
CACGUAGGGUGCAAGCGUUGUCCGGAAUCAUUGGGCGUAAAGAGCGUGUAGGCGGCCAGGUAGGUCGGUUGUGAAAACUGGAGGCUCAACCUUCAGACGUCGACCGAAACCCCCUGGCUAGAGUCCGGAAGAGGAGAGUGGAAUUCCUGGUGUAGCGGUGAAAUGCGCAGAUAUCAGGAAGAACACCCGUGGCGAAGGCGGCUCUCUGGGACGGUACUGACGCUGAGACGCGAAAGCGUGGGGAGCGAACAGG